rnacentral:tRNA from 1 species
GCGGGUGUAGCUCAAUGGUAGAGCCCCAGCCUUCCAAGCUGGUCGUGAGGGUUCGAUCCCCUUCACCCGCUCCA